GACAGAGGGUGCUAGCGUUGUUCGGAAUUACUGGGCGUAAAGGGCGCGUAGGCGGCCUGGUCAGUCGAGUGUGAAAGCCCGGGGCUCAACCCCGGAACGGCAUUCGAUACGGCCCGGCUGGAGUCCGGAAGAGGAAAGUGGAAUACCCAGUGUAGAGGUGAAAUUCGUAGAUAUUGGGUGGAACACCGGUGGCGAAGGCGGCUUUCUGGUCCGGAACUGACGCUGAGGCGCGAAAGCGUGGGGAGCAAACAGG
rnacentral:rRNA from 1 species